GGCCCCAUGGUCAAGUGGUUAAGACACCACCCUUUCACGGUGGUAACGGGGGUUCGAAUCCCCCUGGGGUCA
rfam:Alicyclobacillus acidocaldarius subsp. acidocaldarius DSM 446, complete genome.